rnacentral:rRNA from 1 species
AGUGAACGCUGGCGGUAGGCCUAACACAUGCAAGUCGAGCGGCAGCACAGUAAGAGCUUGCUCUUACGGGUGGCGAGUGGCGGACGGGUGAGGAAUACAUCGGAAUCUACUUUUUCGUGGGGGAUAACGUAGGGAAACUUACGCUAAUACCGCAUACGACCUACGGGUGAAAGCAGGGGAUCUUCGGACCUUGCGCGAUUGAAUGAGCCGCUGUCGGAUUAGCUAGUUGGCGGGGUAAAGGCCCACCAAGGCGACGAUCCGUAGCUGGUCUGAGAGGAUGAUCAGCCACACUGGAACUGAGACACGGUCCAGACUCCUGCGGGAGGCAGCAGUGGGGAAUAUUGGACAAUGGGCGCAAGCCUGAUCCAGCCAUACCGCGUGGGUGAAGAAGGCCUUCGGGUUGUAAAGCCCUUUUGUUGGGAAAGAAAAGCAGCAGGUUAAUACCCCGCUGUUCUGACGGUACCCAAAGAAUAAGCACCGGCUAACUUCGUG